AGAUGGAAGAACCUAACAGGAUGAUGUUUGGUUGGUGUAUAUCGGAUAGAUGUUACAAAAUGACGACAAUAGAGUGAGGAAACAGAAAACUAAUUUCUGUGAUUCCGGCAGUUUCUAUGACCUCUCAAUGUUCCUCGUUUUCAUAACUUCUCUUUCAGAUUUCUGAGCUUACUUUGUGUGUGUGUGUGUGUGUGUGUGUGUGAGAGAGAGAGAGAGAGAGAGAGAGAGAGAGAGAGAGAGGAUCAAAGGCGACAUGGCUGGAACAGUGUGUGUGACAGGAGCGACGGGGUUUGUGGCUUCGUGGUUGAUCAUGAGGCUCCUUGAACGUGGCUACUCCGUCCGAGCCACUAUCAGAUCUUCCACGGAUGGCAGAAAGAGAGACCUAAGCUUCCCGGAAAGCCUGCCCGGCGCACCAGAAAAACUCCAGAUAUUCACUGCCGAUCUCAACGACCCUGAGAGCUUCAGCGAAGCCAUUGAAGGAUGCACAGGUGUCUUCCAUGUUGCGACCCCUGUGGACUUUGAGGACAGGGAGCCCGAACAAGUCGUGACACAACGUGCCAUAGAUGGAACUCUUGGCAUCUUAAAGGCGAGCCUGAAGUCCAAAACUGGGAAGCGAGUAAUGUACACUUCGAGUCUAUAUGCUCUCUGCGUGAAUACCACGGGGGCUGCUAUGCUGGACGAGAGUUAUUGGAGUGAUGUGGAAUACAUUAGGGCCGUGAAGCUGAAUCGAGGGUCAUACAUGAUCUCAAAGACCUUGACAGAGAAGGCGGCUUUGGAGUUUGGAGAAUCGAACAGACUGGAUGUUGUCACGAUCAUUCCCCCUUUUGUCACUGGUCCGUUUGUGUGUGAUAAGCUCCCGGAUUCGGUUCGUAUUUCAAUGGCUAUGAUCUUUGGUAACCAAGAUGAUUAUCCCUACCUUGGUCACACAUGCAUAGUUCAUGUGGAUGACUUAGCCAGUGCACACAUCUUCCUCUUCGAGCACCCGUGCCCGAAGGGAAGGUACAUUUGCUCCUCGGACGUCAUCACACCUGAGAAGAUGUCAAAGUUUCUCACAGAGAAGUACCCUAAUCAAUUUCCCGUGGCAUGUCAACUCAAGCAAAUUAAAGAGUAUGAAGUGCCCAUCCUCUCGGCAGAUAAGCUCUUGGAUUCUGGUUUCGAAUUUAAGCACACCUUCGAGGAAACAUUUCAUGGAGCAAUCCAUUGCUGCAGACAGAAGGGAUAUCUAUAAUAAGAAGCUUAUAGCUAAGGAAAUGAUGCUACGCAGUCUUAAUGUUCCACCGUUACCGUCGGAGAACAUUUUUCUCUCAACUACAUUAGCCAUGGAAGACUGGUAGUGCAUAGCCUCCCCUCAGCAAGUGAAAGAACUGACCACUCUCUCCGUCGACCCCAGCUCCUUGUGGAACCCCGACUGCAAAACCAAAGAGGAGAAGUUCUCAUCUGCCAACAGCCCGAUGCAUCUUAUGACAUCAUGGAGCUUAGGAAAACCCAGUUGCAGCCAACCAACACUGACAGUGAAGCAACUCCUGGGCAUGGAAUCGCUUGAGGAAAUUUCUUGUACUUCCUCAACUACUUGCCCAAGUACCGAAUCAAGCUCGUCGACUCUUCUCCAUUCAAUUAACUGAUAACAAGCAGACAUUAGGACCGCUUCAUCGGCAUUAGGAGAUACAAGCAGAUAAUGCAGACAGAGCUCGGAAUCAUUGCCUGCUGCAUCACUAGCAGCAAGUGCAUCUCUAGGUGGGCUCAGAAAGCACUUCAAACUGCAGCACAGUUCCAUCGACACAAAAUCCGAGGCAUGUUUAAUACAGAGAACAAUCAACUUGGACCUCCUCUUGUUAAUGUGAUUCAAGACCGAAUUCAGGUAAAAUGAGCGCUCAACAAUACCGAAAACAGUAAGAUGAGACCAGCUCCCACAGCUCGAAAGCUAGACAGGUCUCAAGAACCAAUCCCGUCACGUCUUCAUCAUAAACCCCACAUUCUCCACCAACGCCCGGGUAUAUAACUGGAUCAUUGCAACCAAAUUAGAAACCUUAGUUGGCUCACACUUACUGAUGAUAAAACUUCAGAUUUCUAUGAUCAAAAAAUACCUUUUCUUAUAAAAAAUGAAUUCUGCUGCUCACAAUUCAAGAAAAGGUCAGUCCUUGAAGCUUCCUUGCCAAUGACUCUGCUUGAGACUACAGCAAAGGCUUCGGCCGAUCAAUGGGCAGAUGAUUUAGCUUCUGAAUUCCCGCCGAUCGUAUUGAACCCAAACUACAUUCUUCCCAGCCCCUGAAGUGGAAGUCCUAACCAUGUGUCACUCGCCAAUCCUGUCACGGGAUGGCGACUAUCGAAGGCCGACUCUGAAAUCAUCGAAACUAUUCAAAGGGUUCUCCAAGACCCUCAAGAGAAAGCUUAAGGACAACAGAUUCAAGUGAAAAGAAUUUCUCGGGAUUCUGAAUCCUUUCCUUUCCUUGAGAAAGUUAAAACAGUUGGUAUCGCGAUCAAGUACCCCAGAAAGACAAAAACAUGAAGAAUUCGUAUCUCCUGGCAGGGCAGGGCAAUUACAGAGAGAGAGAGAAGUGGCCAUGAGGCGGCAGUGGCGCAGGCGGAGGCGGCUGCAGAGGGCGGUGGACGGAGUGAACCCUAACACGACCAAGGCAGUAGCCGUAGGAACAGAGGAAGAAUUUGGCGCCUCACUGAUGAGUUCGCGGGCGUCGGAAGGAAAAUGAGCCGCCCGUCCAUUUCUUUAUUUUUAAUUUUUUGUUUAUUUCAAGGGAUUCAUUUCUUUUUCAGUUCUUUACUAUCUACAAAUUUCCAUAAUUACUUUUCAUUACGUUGAAAAGUGAUUUGAAGUUAAA